rnacentral:lncRNA from 1 species
CUAUGAUUCAUUUCUCAUUCAAAAGAACUGAACAGAUAUUUCACAGAAGAAGAAAUACAAUCAACAAGUAUAUGAUGCAAAUCAAAAACUACUCUAAUAUUUCAUAUCAUUCUAGUCAGAAUGGACAAUUAUCAAGAAUACAAACAACAGUAAAUGUUGACAAGGAUAUGUGGAAUAAGGUUCACUCAUACAUUGCUGGUAGGACUGCAUAUUGGUGCAACCACUAUGAAAAGCAGUAUGGAAAUUCCUCAGAAAACUUGGAAUGGAAUCACCAUUUGACUCAGUUAUCCCACCCCUUGGCAUGUACCCAAAGGAAUUAAACGCAGCAUACUAAUGUGGGAUAUAUACACAAUGGAAUAUUACUCAGCCUUAAAGAAGAAUGAAAUGAUGGCAUUUGCAGGUAAAUGGAUGGAGCUGGAGAAUAUCAUGCUAAGGGAAAUAAGCCAAUCCCAAAGAACCAAAGGUCAAAUGUUUUCUCUGAUG